UACGGAGGAUGCAAGCGUUAUCCGGAAUUAUUGGGCGUAAAGCGUCCGCAGGUGGCACUUCAAGUCUGCUGUCAAAGACCGGGGCUUAACCCUGGAAAGGCAGUGGAAACUGAAGCGCUAGAGUGUGGCAGGGGUAGAGGGAAUUCCCGGUGUAGCGGUGAAAUGCGUAGAGAUCGGGAAGAACAUCGGUGGCGAAAGCGCUCUACUGGGCCUGCACUGACGCUCAUGCACGAAAGCGUGGGGAGCAAACAGG
rnacentral:rRNA from 1 species